GGGCCGGCGGGGUAGCUGGUUAUCGCAUCUAUCUAACAUAAUGUUGAUAGUACUCAGUUCGAACCUGGGCCGACUCA